rnacentral:misc_RNA from 1 species
UACAGAGGCCCCAAGUGUUACCCGGAAUUACUGGGCGUAAAGGGUGUCAAGGCGGCCAUAUUAGUCGUUUGUUAAAUCCGCGAGCUUAACUUGCGGCCUGCAAGCGAAACGGUAUGGCUAGAGGGCGCGAGAGGUGCAUGGAACUCACGGUGGAGGGGUGAAAUCCGUUGAUAUCGUGGGGAACACCAAUGGCGAAGGCAGUGCACUGGCGCGUUCCUGACGCUCACACACGAAAGCCAGGGUAGCGAACGGG